rnacentral:rRNA from 1 species
AGUGAACGCUGGCGGUAGGCCUAACACAUGCAAGUCGAACGGCAGCACAGUAAGAGCUUGCUCUUACGGGUGGCGAGUGGCGGACGGGUGAGGAAUACAUCGGAAUCUACUUUUUCGUGGGGGAUAACGUAGGGAAACUUACGCUAAUACCGCAUACGACCUACGGGUGAAAGCAGGGGAUCUUCGGACCUUGCGCGAUUGAAUGAGCCGAUGUCGGAUUAGCUAGUUGGCGGGGUAAAGGCCCACCAAGGCGACGAUCCGUAGCUGGUCUGAGAGGAUGAUCAGCCACACUGGAACUGAGACACGGUCCAGACUCCUACGGGAGGCAGCAGUGGGGAAUAUUGGACAAUGGGCGCAAGCCUGAUCCAGCCAUACCGCGUGGGUGAAGAAGGCCUUCGGGCUGUAAAGCCCUUUUGUUGGGAAAGAAAAGCAGCAGGUUAAUACCCCGCUGUUCUGACGGUACCCGAAGAAUAAGCACCGGCUAACUUCGUG